rnacentral:rRNA from 1 species
UUCCGGUUGAUCCUGCCGGAAAUCACCGUUAUCAGAAUUCGACCAAGCCAUGCGAGGCGCGAGCUAUUUGGGCUCGCCGAACUGCUCAGUAACACGUAGCUAACAUGCCCUCAAGCGGGGGAUAAUCUUGGAAAUCUGAGGCUAAUACCCCAUAGCUGUUGGAUGCUGGAAUGCUUCAACAGUCAAAGCUCCGGCACUUGAGGAUUGGGCUGCGGCCUAUCAUGGCUGUUGCGAGUGNAAAGUACUCACAAACCUUUAACGGGUAGGGGUCAUGAGAGUGGGAGCCUCGAGAUGCCUUCU